AUCCUUGCUAAUGCUCUGUAAGUCUGUACACAAGAUUUCACACAGCAAGACAACUGAGCCAAAGGAUACCUUGUAUGUUCAAGAACAGGUAGAUCAGGGCACUCCUUAUAUUCAUUAUCCCCUCAGUCGCCACUUACCUGUUGCCCACACAAGAUAAUUCUACAAGCUCACUGUUAAGAAAGCAGAACUGUUACUGAUCAUGUAUGUUUAUUAGAAAUGGCUGGUCAUGGAGAACACUAGUGGCUUGAAUGAUUCAAACUUAUCUAGAUAUUUUACAGAUGAGUUCUAAUCUGGUCCAGUAGACUGAAGUAGCAGUGGGAGUACCCUAGAAACACCUCUGAAGCACAUCUACCCAUUUACCUCUCAUCAGAAAUGUAUCAAGUUCAUGCACUCCAAGAUUGGUUUACAUUGUGGAACUGGAAGAAGCACAGGAAGAAUGGAUGACUGAGAAAUUUGCUUCAAAAACACUUGUUGGAUCCAAAGUCUAACACUAAAGCAGCUGCAUCUAUGUGGGACUGAUUCAGGCACAAGAUAUUAAAAAGUGUGUUCUGAUAUGAUGUGAAAAAAAAAUAUUAAACUGCACGUCUCAGUCACAGUAGCUGGAGGAAAAGAGAUAUUUUUGCUCAUCUGGGAUCAUAUUAUAAACUACAGGGAAAGGUUCUGACCUUGGAAACCAGGGCCCACCUUGCUUAGAUGCAAAAGGGGACUCUGAGAACAUGCAGUGAGUGGAGAGUCAUUUAUACUGAAUAAUUCUGCCUAAAAACACUUUCCCCCCACCCCUCCCUCCUUUCUGGGCUUAACUUUACUCCAC